rnacentral:tRNA from 1 species
ACUUAAAUAGCUUAUAGAGUAGAGCAUAAUAUUGAAGAUAUUAAGGAAAUUAAUUUAUUUUUAAGUA